rnacentral:rRNA from 1 species
GAUGAACGCUAGCUACAGGCUUAACACAUGCAAGUCGAGGGGAAACGACAUCGAAAGCUUGCUUUUGAUGGGCGUCGACCGGCGCACGGGUGAGUAACGCGUAUCCAACCUGCCCAUCACUUGGGAAUAACCUUGCGAAAGUAAGACUAAUACCCAAUGAUAUCCCACGAAGGCAUCGGAAUGGGAUUAAAGAUUUAUCGGUGAUGGAUGGGGAUGCGUCUGAUUAGCUUGUUGGCGGGGUAACGGCCCACCAAGGCAACGAUCAGUAGGGGUUCUGAGAGGAAGGUCCCCCACAUUGGAACUGAGACACGGUCCAAACUCCUACGGGAGGCAGCAGUGAGGAAUAUUGGUCAAUGGGCGAGAGCCUGAACCAGCCAAGUAGCGUGCAGGAAGACGGCCCUAUGGGUUGUAAACUGCUUUUAUAAGGGAAUAAAGUGGGUCACGUGACUUUUUGCAUGUACCUUAUGAAUAAGGACCGGCUAAUUCCGUG